GAUGAACGCUGGCGGCGUGCCUAAUACAUGCAAGUCGAGCGGAGAGGCCUCUUCGGAGGUACUCGAGCGGCGGACGGCUGAGUAACACGUAGGAACGUACCCUGAAGUGAGGGAUAACUGCUCGAAAGAGUAGCUAAUACCGCAUGUGCUCUAAGGAGUAAAGCUUCGGCGCUUUGGGAACGGCCUGCGUCUGAUUAGCUAGAUGGUGAGGUAAUGGCUCACCAUGGCGACGAUCAGUAGCUGGUCUGAGAGGAUGAUCAGCCAGACUGGGACUGAGACACGGCCCAGACUCCUACGGGAGGCAGCAGAAGGGAAUUUUCCACAAUGGGCGAAAGCCUGAUGGAGCAACGCCGCGUGCAGGAUGAAUGCCUUCGGGUUGUAAACUGCUUUUAUAUGUGACGAAUAUGACGGUAGCAUAUGAAUAAGGAUCGGCUAACUCCGUGCCAGCCGCCGCCGUAA
rnacentral:rRNA from 1 species